GUUUGGAUGGCUUAAUUGUCCUGCUGCCAGCUUGGUCAGUACAGCUUUGCACUUUAGAGGAUGUUUUUGUUUUAAUGAUGGUGUUUAAUUCUUUCUUUGUGAAGAGUGAACAAUUGUUUCAUGUUUUAUCUUGGGUCUUAAGUCAGGCAAACAAAAGCAAUUUGAUAAUAGAAUAUAAUUCUUUUCUUCCUUUCAUUGAACAGUUAUUUCAUAAAAGCUAAAAAAUGAGUGCAUUGCCUUCAUGAAAAGCAGGAGAGUUAAUCAGGGAUUUCUCUACACUUAGAAGAAGUCUCUGAAAAUAUGUUACUGAAACAGCACUGUGAUGGUCGGGUGAAAAGGCAACAGGAAAGUAAACGGUACAAGCAGAUGUGGGAGCGGUCUGCCCACCAGGACAUCGCUCAGAUGGGGAGACGUUAUGGUGGGCAGCGUUAGCAGACAUCAUCGUGAAACGCCCUCAGAGGGUUACAAGAGGAAAUAAUCAACCGAGGGGACUGCCUUUUGCGAAGAUCCACGAUAGUGCUGUUGAUGUGCUGUGGGAUUGCCUCAUAUGGGGGCUGAUUCUGGCUACAAAUGGCCAGCCAUACAA